UAUACAGAUCCUAUCCAGAGCGAUGCCUCGCUCUGAAAUUAAAGUGCGAGGCUCCUUUCCUAGCCCUUGGAUCAAUUUACUUAAAUCUAAAGGACCAUAACUCAUCUCUCUUAACCAAGGUUAAAACCCACGGGUUAACAAAUAAGAAAAAGAAAAAAAAAAAAAAAAACCAAACGCACAAUUCUAGGUUUUCCACACUCAAGACGUCUCAUCCUCUUCUCCUCUACCGUGCAUGCGUGGUCGAUCUUCUCCUCUGCUGUGCUCUUCUCAUUCAAGACGUCUCAAUAACAGGAAUGGAGUCACAACAAAGUUUCGAUGACACUGCUAUCUAUUGUCCUCAAGUGAAGGUUGAUCUAAUUCCUGUAAAGAACCAAGAAUUUCAUACACUAGAAGACGUUGAGACGUUUUACAAAAGCUAUGCAAAAGAAUCAGGGUUUGAUGUCAAAAGUUUUACUAGCGAGAAGAAGAAUGGUGUGAUUGUAAGAAAGGCGUAUGUGUGCUCUAAACAAGGAACAUCAAAGGUAACAGGAAAGAAAAGAAAUAGGAAUCGAACAAGAGUAAAUUGCAAGGCAAGAAUAGUAGUUGCAAGACGUGCUACGAUCGGCAAAUAUGUUGUCACUAUUUUUGAUGAGGGUCACAGCCAUCCUUUAACUACCCUACGAAGAAAACAUCUGACAAAGAUCCAUCGUGAGGUUUCAUCGAUUCAUAAAUCAUUAACGAAACAACUGACUGCAGUCAAUGUGCCAACAUGUACACAAUUUGACUUUCUUGGAGUGCAUUCAGGAGGAGUAGAAAACAUUGGGUGCUUGCAACAAGAUAUUUAUAACUACAAAAGGGAUUGUCGCAAAGAGGUGGAGGGGCAUGAUGGAGAUAUGUUGCAUGAGUACUUCCUGUUGGAGAUAGAAAAAGAUCCUUCAUUAAUUUUCAAAAUAGAGGCUGAUAAUGAGAACAGGAUCACACAUAUCUUUUGGGCUGAUGCAAUUUCUAGACGAUCUUACAAGUUUUAUGGUGAUGUUGUAAUAUUUGACACAACUUACAAUACCAAUAUGUAUUCGUUGAUCUUUGCACCUUUGGUGGGAGUAAAUAAUCAUGGGCAGACAAUAAUUUUGGCUUGUGCAUUCUUAAGCAAUGAGACAACUGAUUCUUUUGUUUGGUUCUUUAAAGAAUUUUUAGAUGCAAUGCCAGGUGAUGCUCCGAGGAUGAUUAUUACUGAUCAAGAUCCAGCAAUGACGAAAGCUAUCUCUGAAGUACUCCCACAGACAUUUCACAGGUAUUGUAGUUGGCAUAUUCUAAAUAAAUUCUCUGAAAAAAUAGACCCAGGAAAAUAUACUCGUUAUUAUGAUGAAUUUCAAGAUUGCAUAUGGAAUUCAGAAAAUAGAGAUGAGUUUGAUGCAAGGUGGACAUCGAUUGUUGUGAGUAGUGGUUUAAGUGACAAUGGAUGGUUAAAGACUAUGUAUGAUAUUCGGUCAACAUGGGUGCCUGCAUAUGUAAAUCAUAUCUUUUCAGCUGGGAUGUCAAGUAGUCAACGAGCAGAAAGUGGGCAUGCUUUCUACAAGAGGUUUGUUUCUAAAGAAAACACAUUGUUAGAUUUUAUGCUUCAGUUUAAUCGAGCUGUCACACGUCAACGACAUAUGGAAUUAAUGGAGGACAAUGUUGACAUCAAUGAGAAGCCAAAUUUUCACUCACCCUUUUAGAUGGCAGACCAAAUGGCUCGUGUUUAUACACAUGAAUGCUUUAAACAAUUUUAUGAUCAGUUGUCGCAGUGUUGCAAUUAUAGAUUUGAGCUCUCACAUGAGAAUGAUACGUAUAUGGUGUAUAUUGCACUGAGAAAAAAAAUGGAGAACCCCAAGGGUCGUGAAAUUAUUUAUGCUAAAGAGUCAGAUUUUGUAUCAUGCAGCUGCAAAAAAUUUGAGACUGUCGGGAUACCAUGUAGAUAUAUUUUGGCAUUUCUCAUAUUUAUACGACUUGUUGAUAGAUUGCCAGAUCAAUACAUCUUAAAGAGGUGGACGAAAUCAAGAAAAGCUGAGACAGUUCUUGAUGAUGUCGGUGUGGAGAUAACAGAUAAUGGAGAUUUGCUUGCCAGGCGGAGUCGAUUAUGCCAAUAUGUUGUAGAUGUAAUUGAUAAGAUUAUGGGUAGCGAAGAAGCAAGUGAUUUGUUUGUAGAUUCAUUAAAGAGUGUUCUGGAGAUGUAUAAUUCCAUGAUGGCUGAUGGUGAGACUGUUAAGUCUGCAAUAGUGCCAGCUGAACAAAAAAGUCUUCCUUCUCAACACAUUUAUAAUGAACCUAUUCAAGUAAGGGCCAAAGGAUGUGGGAAAAGAUUGAAGGCAGGGAAAGAGAAGGGAAGAUUGAAAGCUGCAAAGAAGGCAAAUGGUAAAGGUAGAUUUUGUCAUGGAUGUAAAAAAAAUGACCAGCAACAUGAUAAAAGAAAUUGUCCUGAGUUGAAGAAUAAAAAUGACAUAUCAAUCCCUCAAACUGGAGAGGAUACAAGUGACCCAAGUACGAAUGAGGAAGAGUAUUCCAACACAGGAGUUGAUGAGUUUGCGUAGCAAGCCGAGCAUGAUUGUCCAAAAUUAUUUGUCAUCCCUUGUCGAUUUUGUUUGAUUAUGCACUCAUCUGCAAUGCUAAACAAUUUUCUCAUGUAGGAUUUUUUAAUUUGUAACUAUUGUUACAGUUCAGAGAUG